UAAACAUUACCACCCCCACGUGUAGAACAAACAAAACCGCAAGCAUUUUGUGUCUCUCUUUCUCUCUCUAGAGUUCGGAGAAGUGGAGGAGGAAGGAAUGAUGUCUUGCGUAAUUGGCUUUGAGACGACAGCAGCAAUAGCAUCAUCUUUCCCCGUUAGUUCAGUGACCAAAACUACAUCCACCAAUACCCAUUCUACACUCCUCCACUGCCCCACCCGCCCUCUUACAUUUACUUCUUCUUCUUCUUCUUUUUCUUCCAGAACCAUCCUUAAUGGCUCAAGCUCUACAAGGCUUGCCUCCAUUCGUUGCUUCUCAGUCUUAACUCCUGAGCUGAAGAAUACAUUGGAUAAAGUUGUUACUUCGCACAAAGUGGUUCUUUUUAUGAAAGGAACUAAGGAUUUUCCACAAUGUGGAUUUUCGAACACUGUUGUGCAGAUAUUGAGGUCUUUUAACGUACCUUUUGAAACAAUCAACAUUCUAGAAAAUGAAACACUACGUCAAGGAUUAAAACAGUAUUCCAACUGGCCUACCUUUCCUCAACUUUACAUUGAAGGAGAGUUUUUUGGUGGCUGUGACAUCACUGUUGGAUCUCAAGACGGGGAAGAUUAUGGGUGGAGGGCAUGAAGCCGGUGGACUUUAUUACUUGGAUCGAUGUGGUUCUUCCCAUUUAGUGGCUUCUCAUUUGUCUAUCUCGCCUCUUCAACAUCAUUGUCGCCUUGGUCAUCCAUCUCUCAAGAAUUUGAAGUCAUUAGUUCCGUCGUGUCGUCAAAUUGAGUCUUUACAAUGUGAAGCAUGUCAGUUGGGUAAACACCAUUGGGUUACUUUUGCCUCUAGGCGUGAGAGUCGUGUUAGUAGUCCUUUUCAUUUAGUUCAUUAUGAUAUUUGGGGUCCAAUAAACACUCCCUCAUUGUUGGGAUUUAGAUAUUUUGUCAUUUUUGUUCAUUAAACUUACAUCUUUGUCUCAAUUUUUUGAUGAUCAUGGUGUAAUUCACCAAUCUUCAUGCCCCCAUAUUCCACAACAAAAUGGUGUUGCUGAACGCAAAAUGCGUCAUUUGUUAGAGGUCACUCGUGCCUUAAAGUUUCAUAUGCGUGUUCCCAAAUCAUAUUGGAGUGAUUUGUUCUCACUGCCUAUCACCUAAUUAAUUGUAUGCCUUCCACUGUUCUAGGUGGUUAGAUCCCUUAUACUGUGCUCUCUCUUGAUGCACCUUUGUUUCAUCUACCUCCUAAUAUCUUUGGUUGUGUGUGCUAUGUUCAUAUCUUAGGUUCAGGGAGUGACAAACUUGAUCCUAGAUCUAUUAAAUGUGUUUUUCUUAGGUAUUCUCAUACUCAGAAAGGAUACUGAUGUUACUCACCUACUCUUCGGCGUCGUUUCAUUAGUGCUGAUAUCACAUUUGAUGAAUCUCAGUCCUAUUUCUUUCCUUCGGUUGCUAGUGGCAGUUCUCCUCCACCUGUGUCUCCUAUUGAAUCUCCUCAGAAUACACUCUAGGUAUAUUGUCGUCUGCAGAAACCUCCAACAGAGACUUCUACCCCGCCUAGUGAUCCGACUCUUGAUCCUGCCUCUUUUCCAAUUGCUUUGCGCAAAGAGGCAUACAAGAAUGGUCAAUUGCAGGAAAUACUGGAGAAGGCAAUGUGUUCUUGAAGCUUUUCAGUUGGGCAAUGGUAUAAUAAUUGCACUCUUGACUUGCCUGGUGAUUGAGAAGUGUAUUGUAUAAUUCAUCAUUCCUUAAAAUUUGUUUGAUUAUGGCCCAAAACAUAUACCUUGUAUUUGACUACAAAAUAGAAAUCUCUAUUUGGCAAUGACAGCUUACUAUUUGUUGCAUGUUAA